UUUCUAAUUUUUAUUUUAAUUUCUUUAUUUUCAUUAAUUCAUAUUAAUUUUAAUAUUGAUCCAAAAGAUAUGGGAAUUUCAGCAAAAUAAUUCAAAUAUUUUUCUUUCAUUUUUUGAAUUAAAAUUAUUUUUUGGAUCAAUAUUAAUAUUUUUCAUGAUUUAAUUAUUUUUGUGCAUAUUUUUAAUUGUUUAAAAUUACUUUUGAC
rnacentral:lncRNA from 1 species